UUACUACAGAAAAUGACUGACCCCCCCCUUUGUGAGUAACGCGUGAGCAAUCUACCUUAGUUACAGGGAUAGCCCGAGGAAACUCGGAUUAAUACCUGAUAUUCUUUAUUUCUCGCAUGAGAAUAAAAGGAAAGGUCAGCCGAACUAAGAUGAGCUCGCGUUCUAUCAGCUAGUUGGUGAGGUAAAAGCUUACCCAGGCUACGACGGAUAGCUGGUCUGAGAGGACGAUCAGCCACACUGGGACUGAGACACGGCCCAGACUCCUACGGGAGGCUGCAGCAGGGAAUAUUGUGCAAUGAACGAAAGUUUGACACAGCGACACCGCGUGUGGGAUGACGGAUCUAGGUUUGUAAACCACUUUCAGGAGGGAAGAAAAUGACGGUACCUCCACAAGAAGCCCCGGCCAACUACGUGCCAGCAGCCGCGGUAAUACGUAGGGGGCGAGCGUUGUCCGGAUUUAUUGGGCGUAAAGAGCUCGUAGGCGGGUCAACAAGUCGGUCGUGAAAGUUCAGGGCUCAACCCUGAAAUGUCGAUCGAUACUGUUGUGACUAGGAUACGGUAGAGGUGAGUGGAAUUCCGAGGGUAGCGGUGAAAUGCGUAGAU
rnacentral:rRNA from 1 species